rnacentral:rRNA from 1 species
AUUGAACGCUGGCGGCAGGCUUAACACAUGCAAGUCGAGCGAGCGGCGGACGGGGGAGUAACGUCUUGGAAACUGCCUGAUGGAGGGGGAUAACUACCGGAAACGGUAGCUACAACCGCAUAACCUCAGAUGUGGCCAUAUGGGAUUAGCAAGUAGGGAGGGUAAUGGCUCACAUAGGCGACGCACCCUAGCUGGUCUGAGAGGAUGACCAGCCACACUGGAACUGAGACACGGUCCAGACUCCUACGGGAGGAAGCAGUGGGGAAGAUUGCACAAUGGGCGCAAGCCUAAUAGAGCCAUGCCGCGUGUGUGAAGAAGGCCUUCGGGUUGUAAAGCACUGUCAGCGAGGAGGCGUUACUCGCAGAAGAAGCACCGGCUAACUCCGUGCCAGCAGCCGCGGUAAUUC